GACGAAACUGGAGAGAUAGGGUUUUAACAAGAUGCAAGGACAAUCUGAGGACUGAGAGCCAUUUCAACGUGAGCCCCCAGUCUGAGAACAAGAAAGAAGAACUUCUGUCUCGAGGGUCUCACUGUCAACCAGGCCAGAGUGCAGUGAAGAUCAUACCUCACUACAUCCGUGAACUCCCGGGCUCCUCCCACCUAAGUCUCUUGAGUAGCUGGGACUUCAGAGACAGGGAACUACACAGUGACGGGAUUGAAACAAAGACAACACCUUGAGUUCAGCCAUAAUGAAGGCACUCUCAGUUCAGGCUUCCUACAAGAAAAGGUCUGGGUAAUGCUGGUCACCAGCCUUGUGGCCCUUCAAGCUUUGUAAGCCUUGUGCCAAAAGAAACUUUUAAAACAGCUACAGCAAGAUGAGUCUGACUAUGGCUUAGUAUCUUUCUCAUUACAAUAGGCACAGAGAAGAAUGCAACAGGGCACAGGGGAAGAGAUGCUAAAUAUACCAAGAAUCUGUGGAAAUAUAAGCUGGGGCAAAUCAGUGUAAUCCUUGACUUUGCUCCUCACCAUCAGGGCAAACUUGCCUUCUUCCCUCCUAAGCUCCAGUAAAUAAACAGAACAGCUUUCACCAAAGUGGGUAGUAUAGUCCUCAAAUAUCGGAUAAAUAUAUGCGUUUUUGUACCCCAGAAAAACUUUUCCUCCCUCUUCAUCAACAUAGUAAAAUAAGUCAAACAAAAUGAGAACACCAAAUUUUGGGGGAAUAAAUUUUUAUUUAACACUGCAAAGGAAAGAGAGAGAAAACAAGCAAAGAUAGGUAGGACAGAAAGGAAGACAGCCAGAUCCAGUGAUUGACUUGGCAUGAAAAUGAGAAAAUGCAGACAGACCUCAACAUUCAACAACAUCCAUACAGCACUGCUGGAGGAAGAGGAAGAUUUGUGCAGACCAAGAGCACCACAGACUACAACUGCCCAGCUUCAUCUAAAUACUUGUUAACCUCUUUGGUCAUUUCUCUUUUUAAAUAAAUGCCCAUAGCAGUAUUUGGAGUCUUUUCUUUUCUCCUAAAUCCACAAACUCUCUUCUUUCUCUUUGGACAGAUGACCUCUUGUCAUAGUUAAGCAGAGAGUGGGCAGGAUAUUCCUGAUAGGAGGAACUACAUGAAUAAAGGGGUAAG
rnacentral:lncRNA from 10 species